GGGAUGAACGCUGGCGGCGUGCCUAACACAUGCAAGUCGCACGGGGGGAGCAAUCCUCCAGUGGCGCACGGGUGAGGAACACGUAGCUGACCUGCCCCGAAGAGCGGGAUAACGGUUCGAAAGGACUGCUAAUACCGCAUAAGCUCACAUUGACUAAAUAGGUGUGAGAAAAGGCGUAAGGCCGUUUCGGGAGGGGGCUGCGACCCAUCAGGUAGUUGGUAAGGUAACGGCUUACCAAGCCGACGACGGGUAACGGGUCUGAGAGGAUGAUCCGUCACACUGGGACUGAGACGACGGCCCAGACCUCCGUACGGGAGGCAGCGAGUGAGGAAUAUGCACGAAUGGGCGACGAGACCUGAG
rnacentral:rRNA from 1 species